rnacentral:rRNA from 1 species
GCGCGAAAACUUUACAAUGCGGGACACCGCGAUAAGGGGACCCCGAGUGCCAGCACCUAGUGCUGGCUGUCCAGCUGUUCAAAAAACAGUUGUUAGCAAGGGCCGGGCAAGACCGGUGCCAGCCGCCGCGGUAACACCGGCGGCCCGAGUGGUAGCCGUUAUUAUUGGGUUUAAAGGGUCCGUAGCCGGCCUAUUAAGUCUCUUGGGAAAUCUGGCGACUCAAUCGUCAGGCGUUCAAGAGAUACUGGUAGGCUUGGGACCGGGAGAGGUGGGAGGUACUCCAGGGGUAGGGGUGAAAUCUUGUAAUCCUUGUGGGACCACCAGUGGCGAAGGCGUCUUACCAGAACGGGUUCGACGGUGAGGGACGAAAGCUGGGGGCACGAACCGGAUUAGAUACCCGGGUAGUCCCAGCCGUAAACGAUGCUCGCUAGGUGUCUGGGAUGGUGCGACCGUUUCAGGUGCCGCAGGGAAGCCGUGAAGCGAGCCACCUGGGAAGUACGGCCGCAAGGCUGAAACUUAAAGGAAUUGGCGGGGGAGCACUACAACGGGUGGAGCCUGCGGUUU